AGUCCACCACGAGCGCACGGACUUUCGAUCUAGCCGCUCGACGCUAGAGACGACGACAGCCGCAAUCAACGUACAGACCGUGUUCUGCGUGACGCAUCCCGGCGCCGACGCCGAGGACCCGCAACCGACCCGGCAGCUGAGGGAGAGCUUCAUCUCCAGCGAGAGUCGCAAACCCUCCAUGAGUUCCCCAUUCCCCAACCUUCUGAUUUUGACGCCGGGUCGUGGGCAAAUCAGGUAGAGCGGCUGCGGAUUUUGGCGCCCGGCCUCGGGAGUUUGGGAGCUUAGCGACUCCACAGUGGAAGACUGGUGGACGGCCUUUGCCCGCGCUGCGUCUUCCCCUGCUUCGCGAUGGGAGGCUCCCCUGUAUGGGACGGGACUCUGUCUCCGGACAGCUUCAACACCUCCGCGGCGGCGCUUGUUAAGAGGUGGAAGGAGAUCGAGGUCGACGAUUCCCUUCCUGAAUGGACGUGGAAGCCGUGCAGCAAAUUGGGGGUGCCGUCGGAGGUAGAAGGGUAUCUAGCCCUGGAAAGAGUGUACCGCAGCUGUGGAACAAGCCAGAGUGUUCUUCCAGGAGCAGAUCGAAGAGAUGAAGUUCGAUGGUGCAGGGGAUGUAGCUUGGGUCGAGAGCUCCAGCGACAAUGUUCAUGUUUAUGAUUUCCAUGCUGUCUACAGCUUCUCCUACAAAGUCCCAGUGCUAUACUUUCGCGGUUAUCACACUAGUGGGCAGCUACUAACUCUAGAUGAGGUAAAAGAGGGUCUUCCUUCCCACUCACAGAAAGUAUUAAGUGAAUCAAAGUGGACGUUUAUUACUCAAGAGGUAUGCCUGCUUCAUGCAUGAUCCUUGAUUUCUAUUGAAACAGAAAUUGGCUCUUGAGUCUUGGCAGUGACACGUAGAACGAACUCUGGCCUGUCGUUUGCUAACUGUGCAAGGAUUGUGUUCUACCUGGACUUGGAAUCCUGCAGGAGCACCCCCAUUUAAGCAAGCCAUGGCUGGCCCUGCACCCCUGUGCAACCAGUGGUUGGAUGAAGCUACUUCUCGAAGAAACUGAAGCGACUGAUAAGGAGCACUCGGUGCAAUAUUUACCGGCAUGGUUAUCCGUGGUUGGCCAGGCAGUAGGGCUGAAAAUCCCUCUUGAACUUCAUUCCAACUCUUAGUUUUUUUUUCACUUUUUGUAUGUCUUUCAGUAUGUAGCAGGGAUUGAAAGAGAGUCCUCAGCUUGUGUUUGGUGAUAAUAGUCACCAAUAUUUGUGACACUGGUGGCUAGACCUUGCCAUCGUGUCAUUGUUGUGGUGACUGUAUACUUUCAUUCAAUCUGCUAGCGUUUCUGUUAGACACCCUCGGGGGUAUGAAACGCUAGCGUUUUAGG